UUUAUUAAAAAUAGUUGAAAAUAUCAUAUGGAUGAUUUCAUAAACUUCUUUUGCAAGUUCUCUCAUACACUUAUACAAGUCCUUAAGCUGUAAGAUAAGCUAAAUAGACUGGGAAUAAAUUCUUUAAAAUGCAACUAAGAGCUAAAUAGACACUUGUUCAUAAGCUAUAAGAAAGGGUGGCAUAUGUUCUGGUUGGAGCGUAACUCUUCUCCAGUAGUCGAAGUUGUUCAUUGGCAAAUUACAAACAAAUGGAAUAAUGGUCAAUAAAUAACUGUGCUCACAAGUUAGCGGAUUUCGGGGAAGCUUCUGCAAUAGGUCUCCUUACUUCUACUAUGUAAAUCAACAAUUUUUGCUUGAAAAAAAACUAUUUUAGGAGGUUAUUUAUUGUGAGAAACAGCAUAUGAACACAUUAUCAGUGAUUUUUAUAAGCAUAUACAUUCGCCUAAAUGAAAGCUUCGACACAGUUGCUAAGUCUUACUUUUGGUAACU
rnacentral:lncRNA from 1 species